rnacentral:rRNA from 1 species
AUAGAAAGUUACUUCGGUACAUCGGUGACAGGUGGUGCAUGGUUGUCGUCAGGCUCGUGUCGUGAGAUGUUGGGUUAAGUCCCGCAACGAGCGCAACCCCUAUUGUUAGUUGCCAUCAUUCAGUUGGGCACUCUAGCGAGACUGCCGGUAAUAAACCGGAGGAAGGUGGGGAUGACGUCAAAUCAUCAUGCCCCUUAUGACCUGGGCUACACACGUGCUACAAUGGUUGGUACAACGAGUUGCGAGUCGGUGACGGCGAGCUAAUCUCUUAAAGCCAAUCUCAGUUCGGAUUGUAGGCUGCAACUCGCCUACAUGAAGUCGGAAUCGCUAGUAAUCGCGGAUCAGCACGCCGCGGUGAAUACGUUCCCGGGCCUU